AUUAAAUAAUGCAACAUUCGUCGUAUAACGUCGGGAAUAGGGCCCGAAAGUUUCUACCAAGCCACCGUAAAUGGCUUGACUACGAGGUACUGAAUAAAUCUA
rnacentral:ncRNA from 1 species